UACGUAGGGUGCAAGCGUUGUCCGGAGUUAUUGGGCGUAAAGAGCUCGUAGGCGGUCUGUCGCGUCGGCUGUGAAAACCCGGGGCUCAACCCCGGGCCUGCAGUCGAUACGGGCAGACUAGAGUGCGGUAGGGGAGACUGGAAUUCCUGGUGUAGCGGUGGAAUGCGCAGAUAUCAGGAGGAACACCGGUAGCGAAGGCGGGUCUCUGGGCAGUAACUGACGCUGAGGAGCGAAAGCGUGGGGAGCGAACAGG
rnacentral:rRNA from 1 species